rnacentral:lncRNA from 1 species
AUGUUUUCUUUUAUCUCGAGUUCCAAGACACAAUCGAAGCCAAGUGGAUUGCAACUAGUCUCCAACUUGAUGCACCAUAAAAGAGUUGUAGCAUGUAAACAAGAAGAAGAAGAAGAAACAGAUGCAAAUGAAUUUGCAAUGGCGGAUGCAACAUUCAUUGCACUCAAUUGUUGGUCACAUGACAAAAGAACCUAAUAACAUUAUUGAAAAUACACAAACCCAACCACACAAUUUAGAGUUGUGCAUACAAGAUCUAGAAGAGUCACUUGAACACCUUUCAAGGUGUUUGAUCAAAACCAGAGUUUCCCUCCUCAACAUCCUCAACCACUAG